GCAUGCCUACAACAUAGAAUUAAUGCACUGGAUCCCAUUAUAACUCCGCAGUUAAGCGCACUCAGGAUAGAGUAGUACUGGGAUGGGUGACCACCCGAGAAUUCCUACAGUUUUACAUGCC
rnacentral:rRNA from 1 species